rfam:Felis catus isolate Cinnamon breed Abyssinian chromosome B1, whole genome shotgun sequence.
GCCUGGGUGGCUCAGUCGGUUAAGCGUCUGACUUCGGCUCAGGUCAUGAUCUCGCGGUCCGUGGGUUCGAGUCCCGUGUCGGGCU